CACAGGUAGCACGAGUGGUAUCCACGAAUAUUGAGUUUAAAGCGUCCGUAGCCGGCCAGGCAAGUUUUCUGUGAAAUCCUUCGGCUUAACCGAAAGGCGUGCAGGAAAUACUACCCGGCUUGAGAGUGGGGGAGGUCAAGGGUACGCUAGGGGGAGGAGUAAAAUCCUGUAAUCCUUAGCGGACCAUCGGUGGCGAAGGCGCUUGACCAAAACACGUCUGACGGUGAGGGACGAAGGCCAGGGGAGCGAAUCG
rnacentral:rRNA from 1 species